UACAGGCUUAACACAUGCAAGUCGAGGGGCAGCAUGGUCUUAGCUUGCUAAGGCCGAUGGCGACCGGCGCACGGGUGAGUAACACGUAUCCAACCUGCCGUCUACUCUUGGACAGCCUUCUGAAAGGAAGAUUAAUACAAGAUGGCAUCAUGAGUCCACAUGUUCACAUGAUUAAAGGUAUUCCGGUAGACGAUGGGGAUGCGUUCCAUUAGAUAGUAGGCGGGGUAACGGCCCACCUAGUCUUCGAUGGAUAGGGGUUCUGAGAGGAAGGUCCCCCACAUUGGAACUGAGACACGGUCCAAACUCCUACGGGAGGCAGCAGUGAGGAAUAUUGGUCAAUGGGCGAGAGCCUGAACCAGCCAAGUAGCGUGAAGGAUGACUGCCCUAUGGGUUGUAAACUUCUUUUAUAAAGGAAUAAAGUCGGGUAUGGAUACCCGUUUGCAUGUACUUUAUGAAUAAGGAUCGGCUAACUCCGUGCCAGCAGCCGCGGUAAUACGGAGGAUCCGAGCGUUAUCCGGAUUUAUUGGGUUUAAAGGGAGCGUAGAUGGAUGUUUAAGUCAGUUGUGAAAGUUUGCGGCCCAACCGUAAAAUUGCAGUUGAUACUGGAUAUCUUGAGUGCAGUUGAGGCAGGCGGAAUUCGUGGUGUAGCGGUGAAAUGCUUAGAUAUCACGAAGAACUCCGAUUGCGAAGGCAGCCUGCUAAGCUGCAACUGACAUUGAGGCUCGAAAGUGUGGGUAUCAAACAGGAUUAGAUACCCUGGUAGUCCACACGGUAAACGAUGAAUACUCGCUGUUUGCGAUAUACUGCAAGCGGCCAAGCGAAAGCGUUAAGUAUUCCACCUGGGGAGUACGCCGGCAACGGUGAAACUCAAAGGAAUUGACGGGGGCCCGCACAAGCGGAGGAACAUGUGGUUUAAUUCGAUGAUACGCGAGGAACCUUACCCGGGCUUAAAUUGCAGAUGAAUUACGAUGAAAGCUGUAAGCCGCAAGGCAUCUGUGAAGGUGCUGCAUGGUUGUCGUCAGCUCGUGCCGUGAGGUGUCGGCUUAAGUGCCAUAACGAGCGCAACCCUUGUUGUCAGUUACUAACAGGUUCCGCUGAGGACUCUGACAAGACUGCCAUCGUAAGAUGUGAGGAAGGUGGGGAUGACGUCAAAUCAGCACGGCCCUUACGUCCGGGGCUACACACGUGUUACAAUGGGGGGUACAGAGGGCCGCUACCACGCGAGUGGAUGCCAAUCCCCAAAACCUCUCUCAGUUCGGACUGGAGUCUGCAACCCGACUCCACGAAGCUGGAUUCGCUAGUAAUCGCGCAUCAGCCACGGCGCGGUGAAUACGUUCCCGGGCCUUGUACACACCGCCCGUCAAGCCAUGGGAGCCGGGGGUACCUGAAGUGCGUAACCGCGAGGAGCGCCCUAGGGUAAAACUGGUGA
rnacentral:rRNA from 1 species